GAUCCCAUCGCUUAACCGGAUAAAGCACCGCUUUCCUAAAGCGGAACUCGAGGUUCGAGUCCUCGUGGGAUCG
rnacentral:tRNA from 1 species